UCAGUAGGAGCUUAGGCU
rnacentral:snRNA from 1 species